GUGGGACAUAGUAGAUAACAACCUGGUACAUAAUAUAUCAUCAGAAGCAAUUUGUAAAACUUACAGAUUACAUGUUUGCUACAGAGUAUAAAGCAGGAAUUUAAAGAAGACGAAAAAUCCAGGAUGAAAUCCUGGCUCCUUUAGUGAUAGUGACUUUUUCCUGUUGACUUCUGUGUGGCCGAGUCAAACCAAAAUAUACAGGACUUCACUUUUUCACAGAAGUGUGAAUCUGUUUGCAUCAGCAGAACUGUUCCUGGUUUACAAGAGGAAAAGUGAGAAUCUGGCAGGAGAAUCAACCAGAAAAGAUGUCAAGAAGUACAACAAACAUCUGACAUAUUGAAGGGAAAGAGAAGAGAAUGCAAAGAAAUCCAUGACUAUGUCUCUGAGUGAAUAAUCAGACUAUGAGUUUCUUUGAGGAAACUGAAAAUGAGGAAAUGUCAUCACAGUUUACUUCUUGGGCCAGGAACCCUACAGAUCUCCUCUACUGGAAAACAUGAACUCUUUGGUGAUAGAUGGACCCCUGAAGCCCUGGCAAUGCCAGGCAGCUGUGCCAAAUCAAUGAUCAAACUUGAGCAGGGGCAGGAGCAAUGCAACUGCACAGGGCACCUAUUUGACAGAGCAGUUGAAAGAGAAGAAGAAAGUCAAAUCUAGCAGAGAUUUCAAAGAGGAUGAAGAAUUGAUUCUGUCCACUGUGGAUGCAAACCUA
ensembl:lncRNA